CAGAAUGCUUUCAAUCAGUAGAUUCCACCUGUGCGCCCUGUUCUUCAAAGAAUAGGCAAUAAUACUGCUCAAAAAUUGGGAAAAGUCUCAUCAGCACCUCGUCAAAACCUUUUAAAUCCAAAAUAAGCGACCCUCCCAUUUUCGUGAGUGCAUGGGCUAACCAGAACCGAAAUCGCAAAAAAAUUCCUCAUCGUCAAAUCUACAGGUUAAUUUUGACUCACUUACAGAAUAAGGCCUCAUCGCAACAGAAAAAUGAUUUUGAGAAGCAGUUGCGCAUCAAGAAGGAUAUGAGUGAACUCAAUCUCAACGUCAAGGUGUUGGCCGAGUUGCUUCAGAUGCGGAUGGCACUGGCCGA